AAAAUUACAAAUUUAAAAUGGUUGAAGUGAAAUUAAUAAAAGAACAUUAAGAAAAAUCUCAAGCAUAUAAGACUAACUAUAAGAAGCAACUAAUUAGUAAUUACUGAUCAAUUUCUCUAUAAGCACAAAAACAAAGAUAAUAAAAAUCAAACCAGAAACAACAUAUAUAAUUUAUUUACCAAACUGCUUCACUUGGCCAUACAAUAUGUAUAUACUUCCCAGCUAAACAUGCAUAUACCAUAAUUAGAUUCAUAAGAAAAAAGAAAACAAACGUACAUAUAUAAAUGACAGACAAUUGAUAAUCUGACUCGCCCUUGUGAAAGUUUCCUCCAAGCUUCACUCUUGCAUAUAAAGCUAGCAACGAGAGAUUUCAAAAGGAAAUGAAAAUGCCAAAGGAUCGAAGUUGCCCUAUAAGAAGACAAACCGCCCUUAAAUAAGGCGAUUCAGGUCCAACCACACCCUCCCAUUACAAUUUUCUACAAUACUUCUACGAAGAAUCACAGAAAAUUACUGGGACAGACCGUACAUGCACACACACAGACACACACAAAUAACUUCACAAACACCAAGCCAAGCAGCCGGCCUCCAGCCACCCUAAAGGGGUGGCCGGAGAGAGCCAAGAGAGUCACAUAAUGGGAAGGUGAGUGUUUGUGUGGGAAGAGGGUUUGCAGAUAAAAAUUGAGUUGGUUUUUAUGUUAUCGUGUGUCUGGGUCGUGAGAGCAAUAAAAGGGUGAGAUGACUUAAGUAGAAGUAGUGUUUUAGUGUGUGGUCACUUUUUUGGUUAAAAAGGGAACCAAAAAGAAAAAGUAUAUACAGAGAGAGUGCAAUAGGAACUGCAUGUUUUAGCAUCUUCCCUAGGAUAUGCCAUUGCCACCUUCCAUUCACAACUUCUCCUUUCAUAUAUUAUUAAUCAAUUUCUCCGCUUUAAUUAAUUAAUAAAUUUAAUUUCUCCUUUCAUAAGUUAUCGACCUCUCAUUGCAUCAUUAUAUUAGCUUUAUGAAAUUAAAAUUCAUAUCUAAUUAUGCAGUAAGCGACCUAAAUCCAUGUAAAAGUCAUAAGUGUAAGUUUGAAAUUUAAGAAAUGCACUUGCUGUGAAAGUCAAAAUCUUUACAUUGUAUGAGCCGAAGAGAGAUUAUAUUUUAUAGUUCUACUAAAAAAAACAUAUAUAACACCCCAAGGGGUGAGAUGGGAUAGUAAGAGUCCCUUCUCCCUUAACUAGAGGUCUCAAAUUCUAGUGGACACCCCUUUUAAUAGCUAGAAUUGCUCACUAGAAGCAGGCAGUCACAGACUCAGAAACUGCAAUUAAUUUUAUAAAAAAAGACAUAGAGAUAUUAAUUAGUGGAAAAACUAAAAAAAUAAUAAUAAUAGAAGAAACAAGUAAUACUAUUAUGUUUUUAUGUUCAAGAAAAAUUUAGAUGGAAGCAAUACCAACCCACUAUUAAUAUUGAAUAUUAUUAUAUAUAAGGUACGUCCAAUUCUUUAAAACUCUUUAGCCUUUUCUGGUCAGUAAUUAAGAUUUCAUGUUGUUUGUGACACCAGCAGUAUUAUUCUUUUGUGCUUUCAACAAAGUAGUUAGACAUUGCGUACGUAAUGCUUUUUAAGGAUGUUCUUAAUUCCUUAAUUCUGAAUAGUCAUCCAAUAGUGGUUUACAUGGGUUUGCCUUUGAGGCUCAAAAUGGUUUUAUUUUCAAAUGAAGAAGCAAAUUUGAAUUCUAAAGAUUAAAGAAAGAAAAGAUAAAUUUGUUGUAAUAAAAGAAAAAAAAAAUAAUAAUGAGAAAGAAAAUAGAUUAUGGCAAGAAAAGGAUAGGAGUAAGAGGGUGUAAGAUGAAUAUGAAAAGCAAAUGGUGAAAUUUGGUUGAUAUGUAUUAUGAGUAUCUUGAAAAGGGUGCAUAAGAAUAUUACUUGAUGCCAAAAAUCAUACUAGAAGAAGCUGCCUCCAUGAUCUUUAUUUUGUAUAUUUCUUUUCCAUUUCCAACUACUAUAUAUGUUGUCCGUUAGAAACUUAAUUGCUUCCAUGUGUAACUUUAUAUCUCACCGUUCAUUCAGUGAAACGAUAUUUGUCUAGACUGAAUUCAUGGUUCAGUUACCAAACAAAUCAAUAAAAAUAAAAUUUUUUAAAAAACUAUUUUUAUUUUAUUUUUUUCUCUUGUAUAUGUUAUGAACACUCAUCUUUCAAUAAAAAUUUUUAUUUUAAGCUAAAUAAAAUUGAUUUGAAAUGAAUUUCAAAUUUUUUUUAUAUAAAAGAAGAGGAAAAACACUAAGAACUAUACGGUUUAGAAUAAGCUACGCUUGCAACAUCAUGCGUCAAUCAAGGAAAGAUGCCGGAUGAAACUGAUUAAGAAUAUAUAGAUCCAAAUCAAACAAAUAAGUAAAAUUUGAAAGAUAUAUAUGCACUAAAAUUAGCUUCUCCGAAAACAUGAGAAAUGGUGAUCUCCUCAAAGAGUGGAAAAUAAGAUUGGAUAGAUAUUUUAGAAAUACAUCUUUCAAACUUACCUUAAAAAAUAAAAAGAGAGUUUCAAUUAAUUAACAAAUACAAUGCCGUUAAUACCAAACUUACCUUAAAAAAUAAAAAGAAGGUUCAAAUGAAUUAACAAUACGCGUACGAUGCCGUUAAACGAAUAUAGAAUCUCAAAUAAACGACAGCUCUCCUUUUAUACAGACGAAGGUAAAACCCCGCGAGUCGUUUCUAAAACGACUUGUCUUCUAAAAUAGAGAGGAGAUAAUUAUUCCAAAGUAGACUGAAAUAUCACAGAAUGAGAUCACCAACUUCCAAAUUGAAAAACAACAAAUCAAUGAAAAUCAAAAUUCUAACCUGACAGAAAGGAAAAUUAGCUGCAGACAAUUUUUAUUAACUGAUCUCAAAAUCUGUCAGCUAACCUUUGAAUUUUUAUUUUAUAUCUACAAAAAUGAAAUGUACAUAUAAAGGUAAAAAUUGGAAAAAUCUCCUAAAAUUAAUUAGAACCAUCUCUUUCCAUUAUUAGUUGCCUUAAGCUUCAUCACAAGCUCUUCCCUUUGAGCUUCUACUUCAGCAUAUUUAAGGCUCAUGUUGAAGUAGCGUUCCCUAAGCUCUUUUAACUCUGUCUCCAAUGAUGAUUUUGUUCGUUCAAAUUUUUCUUUUGGAACAACUUCACUUUCUGCUUUUGAUUUUCUUGGUGAUCCUGUUCGACCUUUCCGGCUCUCAGCAGUUAACCUGCAUUCAUGCCAAUUAAAAGGGUGACCCAGUGCACGAAUCCCACAUUUGUGAGCUCGAGAGGCCAUUUUCGUGUGCAAAAAUGUUCUUUAUUUUGAAGAAAUUAAAUGUUAUGUUCAUCUUGCACUCACCUUUUAACCUGAACUUUGAAUGCAUUAUUUGCUUCCAUAGCCUUGGAUAGUUCAUCUUCAAGCACAGGAUUAUCACCCUAUUAUCAUUAACCAACAGAAGUCAAUUCGUUAAUAUCUAAAAACCAAAAGUAAAUGGCCAAAUACUUAAACAGGAAAAAAAAAAAUGAUGCAUGGGCAAAUUUAAAGAAUGUAGCUUCCUGUAGCAAGAUUUUAGUUUUAUGGGUAAAACAGAGGAGAGAAUACAUACUUCUUUUUUCCUCGGAUUACGCUGUUUUUCCUUCAAUAUGAUUAAUUCUUCUUCAAGAAUUUGAAUUCUUCUUGUGCUUUUUUCUUUCACCUCCUCCAGUUGUUGUAUCUGCUGUUGAAGUUGCUUAUUUGCUCUCUUGAUAUGGUUGAGCUCAUUUUUAACAUCUGCAUCUUGUUCACAUAAGGACUCUUUUGCAAUUAGUUCACUCUCCAACUUCUGAAUCUUUUCUUCUAAGGAAAGAUUAUCUUCUUUGAAUUCUUCUAGUUCAGAAAUAGUCUUCUGCAAGUCAGUGAUUUUGUCGAUAAACAAAUUCUUCUCUAUAUUCAACUCUUUACAGUCUUCAGCUUUUAGAUUCAAUGAAAUUUCUAGUUUCUCUUUCUCAGUCUUGAUCGCAUUCACUUCAUUCUUCAAAGCCAACACUUCAUCCUGAAGGGUUCCAAUUUUCAGCAACUGCGCCUUCAAAUUGGUAGAUUCUUCAAUAAGUUGUUGCUUCUCGUACUCAGAUACUGUAAGCUUUAGCUCAACACCAUUGAGAGCGGUCUUAAAUUUUUCUUCACACAAUUUGUAAUUCUCCAACAACUUCAACAUCUUUCCAUUAUCAGCCUUUAGCAUUUCUUGGUUUUGUUUCGAGGAAGCAAGCUCAUCCAUCAAGUCUUGAAUCUUCUCCUUGGAUUCUGUCUGUGAGGCAUGGAGUUCUGAUUCUAGCUUAGUUAUAUUUUUGCGUAAACUAGAUGCUUCAUUCGCAGAAUCACUAGCUAUUCUAUCUCUUUCUUCUUCAGUUACAGAGAGUUUCUUGUAAAGUUCUCCAACUUCUCUUUGAAGAUUCUCAACUUGAACCAUCUUCUCGAAAUGCAUCUGGUCUAAUUCACUAAGUUUCUUCUUCUGUUUCUCAUUUUCCUUGAGAAGUGCAUCUAUUUCCGAAGUCAGGCUUCUCUCCUUUGAGGCACUAUCUUCUAGUAAUGAAGAAAUGUUUUCUUGCAAAACAUUUACUCUUUUGGAGCAAUCUGCAAAAUUUCUGUGCAAAUCUUUCAAUUUCAUCUCCAAGCGAUCACAAUGCCCUUUCAGUUCUAACUUCUGCUUUUUCAACUCUUCAUUUGAUUUCUGAAGUGAACUGCUUUCUUCCAUAAGAUCAUGCAUUUCUUCUAGCUUCUUCUCCGCAUCCAUUUUCUGAGUCUCCAUCUCAUUUCUCAACUUUGCAGUCUCAUCUUGAAACUUGACUACAUUAAAUUUGGAAUCCUGUAGCUCCAAUACCAUUGACUUGUUCGCAUCUGUUAAGUUUCUUAUCUGAGUUUCCAAGCCAGAUAUGCAAGCUAAUAGGUCUCCAUUUUCCUGCUCUAGUUCAGAUAAAUGGAUCUUGAAAUUUUGCUUGCUACUUUUCCUCUCUAGAGUUUUGUUGGCAGAAACAUUAGUAUCCACACUGCUGCCAAGCACCAUCAAAUCCUUUCGCAAGUCAUUCAAGCAUUUCGUAGCAAUAUCAUUUUCUCUAAUGACAAUUUCCACAUUUUCCUCUAGUUGGCUUUUCUCUCUUUGAAGGACAGAGAGCUUGUCUUCCAAUUUCCUUUGGUAAUUUUUAAGAUUUCCAAUUUCUUCUUCUUUUGACAAUAAACCAGUCUCAAGUCUUUCUAUCUCCUCUCUUUUUUCACUCAGUUCAGUAACUGUACUUUCCAACUCAUAUUUCAGAUUCUCAAGUUCUUGAAUUGAAAGAUUGUAGUCAUCUUCAAUCUCCUUAACAACUUUCCUCCUGAUUUUCUCUUCAAGGUCGUGAAUUUGGGAUUCAUGCUCACUUACUUGUGCAGAAUUGUUCCUCAUUUCCUUAAUCUUGACUAAGAGCUCAAGGUUUUCUUCUGUUAGCUCUUGGCAAUCACUUUCUACUUCCUGCAGUUUUGCUUUCAGUGUUUCAAUUUCUGUUAUCAGAACUCUCUCACUUCCAUCUAUUUCCUCCAAUGCUUUUUCCAGUUCUUGCACUUGAGCUUGCAAAUUCUUUUCUGAUUCUUGCAAUUUUUGCAUCUGCAACACAUUAACCUGUAUAGAACUUUCCAUGUCACUGAAUUUUGAUUGUAGAGUUGAAAGAUUCUCUAUUUCAGCUUUCUGCUUUUCCACAGUCUCUUCAAGCUCCUGAAGAACCGAAACAAGCUCAACAUUAGACUCCUGACUCCUAUUCAACAGCAAACUGAGAUUAGCAGUAGACUCUUUUUGAAACUUAAUCUCAUCUUCCAAUUCUUUUAUAACAUUGGUUACUCCUUCAUCUUGAAAUGUUGAAUCCUCCAAGCCUCCUGCUUUCACCUUUGACUUCUCUAGCAACAGCUUCAGCUGUUCAACUUCCUUUUGCAAUCCAUCGCGUUCUGCAUAUGCUGCAGAAAGCUGCAUAUCCAAAUUUACCUUAUAUUUGGACUGCUCAGUAUGUUCUUUCCUUAACAUUUCCAAAUCAAGCAUUGCUUUCCUUGCAUUCUUCUCCCACUUCUUAGCUUCGCUACGAAGAUCUUUGAUGGUAGCUUCUGCAGCUUCAAGUAGGCUUUUAGAUGAACCUGAAAUUCUCAAAGAUUGUGCAGCAAAUUCUUGAGGGUCAUCCGCAGAAAGGUUUUCUGAAUGCGUAAUCCGCGAGUUAAAUGAUGAAUUAUCUGAUUGAGAAGCAUCUUCAGCAUUAUAACUUCCUGGAGGUACACUAUUCUGGGAGCUAGUUGAUUCUUGUCUUGCAAUGAGGGUAUGUUCACCACUUGGAAAAAAACUCUCUGUGCCAAUGGAAUUUUCUGCCGAGUUAUAGCUAUGCUGUGAAGAACUAGACAAACCUGCCUCUUCUUGAAGUACACCUCCCUCUCCCUUGAACCAAAAAGGAAAAACACACACACACACACACACAUACAUGAGAAGCAAAACAAUUUCAGUAUUUCAUAUACUAGUAACAAAAAUAUGUUCUGCAAACCAAUGAGCUUUGAUUCAGCGGUAGCGGAGUUGUUUAUAGGACUAUGAGGCUGUAGGUUUAAACCUCAAUUCAGAGACUAGUUGUAAUCAAACAAAAAACAAAAAGUUGCCAUUUUGAGAAACAUGCAGCAAAAUUAAAGCGAAAAUGUGAUCAUACCUUCGUUCCAUUGUCUCCUUGAUGUGCAGAGCCUAAAUCUCUACUAGAGUACGAUCUUGCACUCUUUGCUAAUGAAUUAUCAGACUCAUCUGAUUUCAUUUCUGCGUCCUGAGAGUUUGUGUUAAGAUCUUCCGUAUGGGAAUUUGUUUCUUUUGAUUCACUAUCCCUGGAAUUUUGUAUACAGACAAAUUUUUCACCAGGAAACAGUGUAUUAAAAGCUCAAAAGACAGCAAAAUAGAAGGAAAAGACUAAAGUUCCAUCACUUCAUGUACUAACCUAAGAUUUAACUUUGGUGUCAGGCACUGAAUCUUGAGCUGCAAAUCAGAUUAAGAAGACAUAAUUGUGGAGAAUAGAUCUCAGUAUUACAAAUUAUCAGAAAAAAAUAAUCAAUAUAGGUAGCUAGAACACAGUCAUAAAACUUACUUGUAGAAUAGUCCCAUGAUUGCACUUUUUCAAUGGGAAUGAAACUUGAACAGGAUCACUUGAACUCAUAUAUGUUGCCAUGUUAAUUAAAGCUUCUCCAAGAAUGCCUGAUCUAGAUGAUCCCUAUAUAAUGCAAGUUUGAAAUAAUAUUUUGAAAAGAAAGAAAUAGACUCUGAAGAAGAUCGACAAUGGCAAAACAGAAUACAGUCUCUAUAUACCAUGGCAAGAACAAGCUUGUAAAGGCAAUCUUCAAGCUCCUUUGAAGAAGAAGAUUGAACAUGUUGAGGAACCCAAAUAGACUCUGAGACAGUCUCUGUCCAUUGACAAGUACCAGUUCUUGAAGAAGCUUUACUAGACUUUGCAAUUGUUUUUCCAGUCUCUACCGAGAUUAUAGAUACAAAUAACUUGUCCCAUCCUUUUGGCACCUGUCAAAGUAAAACUCAAACAUCAUAAAAACCAUAUUAAUUAAAAAUCUUAAAGUGGGUUUUGUUUAUUAACUAAUGAUAAUUACCUGUAAUGCUUUAAAUUGAGAAAACUUGAAAUCAAUUCUUUCUCCUGACUUUGCUGCCUUAUUCUUGUGCAACCUGAACAUUUUCCCUUCUCUCUGUCCUUUUUUUUUUUUUCUUGUUCUUGUUCAAACAGUGUACAUAUGAUAUGACAAAUUCAAAGAUAAUUAACAAGAAGAAGCUUAAUUACCACAUAAUAAUUACAAUUAGCAGGACAAGAAGAGACAGACAGACAGAGAGAGAGGAUUAGCUAAGUGGUCAUUGUAGAGAAUGGUGAUAUUUUAUGUCCUACCAACUUUAGGCGCUACUUACGUUUGUUUGUUAUGGAAAAGAUAGAGGAUCGAGAGAGAGAUGCAUGGGAUUUUAUGAUUGUCCGGGUAUCAUACGCUGGGUCGUCAACUAUAAAACGGCAACACAAAAGCCGAGUCUAACUCUUACUAAUCCUAACUACUCGCUACCCAGCACCCAAAGCAGGCUUUUUGACCCGUCACCAUGCUUGCUAUUUCCUCAAAGAUUGAAAAAUAACUCCUAAAUAUUUUUUAAUGAAAUAUCUAGGAGUUAUUUGUAAGAUCAAAAUUUAUAAUAAUUAUUUAGUAAUGAAAUCAAAUGAAUUUAGUAAGUUCAAAAUUUUUAUAACGUAAGAAUUUUGUUUUUAUUUUCUGGCUUCGAAUCAAAUUUAAAUUCUUAAAUCCUUAACCCAUAUAAUUUAAUGAUAUUUGAACUCCGCUUAGAAAAGAGUAUUUUUCUAACAUGAAUUUAAUAUGAGCGGUUCAACACAUUGAUCAUUAAUGUUACAAGUUUGAUAUUCAUAUACAGAAACAUUUUUAUUAGGAGCGCUUCAACCUUUAAUAAAUCGACCCGGCGCGAACAAGAAAUAGUUAAGUUUUAUACAUCAUUAAAUAAUCGUGGAUCUUUUAUGAAGAAUUCUAGACUUCGUUUGCUAAAAUUUUGUAUAUAUUAGUCAUAAAUAUAGUCUAAAAAAAUAUUUAUGGGAAUGAAUCAAGAAUAUUUAAGGAAUAAAUGUGCUAGGAUAAAUAAUAUUUUUAUUUGGAUUUAUAGAUAUAAAAAAAUAUAUUUAGACCAUUUAAACUAAGGGUGCGCUGUCUCCACCCAAGAAUAGAUACUUACUAUGAGUUGUUGGUAUCAAUUUUGGCGAUGAGUUAUAUUGUUAGAUCACCAAUCUUUGCGGCUGUCUUUUUCUACUUUGUGCUUUACACGGUUAAAGCACAUAGAUACAGUUAUAGGUAGUGUAGUUUUAAAUUUAAUGGUUCCAUAAUAUUAAUUUUAUACAAGAUGGAUAUUUGUAUAAUUUUUUGCGCAAAUUGAUUAGUUAAAUAUAUAGAAACGACGUCGACGGAUUCUCACAUUCUUAUUGACAAUCUGAUUUGAAUAAGUGGAUUAAUUAUGACAUGUCAUAUCACAUAAUUGUGCUAAAAAUAAAUAAAAAAAAUUGGUGAAUGUGGGCAAUACUUUUCUAAAGUAAGGAUCAGCAGAGUUACCAAAUGGACUAUUUACCUGUUGAAUGAGCUCAAAAAUUCUCUCAUAGCUUUACCUGACAAUAUAUAUAAUUUUGCGGGAAAAACAGAUUUAAUUCAUUCUUUAGCUCCUAGGCCAUUCCAUAACCCAUUUAUGGCAAAAUAGGCCCCCAUUAAUAUCACUUCAUUGCCAACAGCUAAUUGAUUUACAGUUGCUGGCCCAGGCCCAGGCCCAUUAUUGAUUGACCCUCCAUCAUUUAUUCCUAUUCAAUUUUAAAAUUGUAUUAAGUUAGAUACAUUUCAAUGUAACUCCUCAUUUUUUUGGGAGGUGCAACCAAAACUGUGAAUUUAAAGUUCUGGUUCUGGUUUUUCAUUUUAAAACUAAACUGACAAUUUGGAUUUGAAAUAUAAAAAUUUUUAUUUUUAUUUUUAUAAUAAUUAUACUUUCUAAAAUAAUAAAAUUUUACUCCCUAAUUUUUAUUUUUUUUUUCAACCUUUAGUUCUAGCUCCAAUACCAUUUCUUACCAUGUUAAGCAAAUUGAAGAUGAUAAUUUGGGAGCAAAAUGAGCUAAUGAUAUUAAUUAAUAAUAAAUAAAGAAAAUAUUUACUAGAUUAUAAUGAUUUUCCAUUAUGGGUUACACACAAAAACAUUUCACUCACUCAUAAUACAUCAAGUGCAACUACCUUCAAUUUCUUUUGAACAUUGAUAUUAUAUAUGUUUAUUAAUUUGCAUUUGUGUGCAUGUGCGAGUAUUGUGAACUUAUAAACUUUUUUCCUCCAAAUUCAUACAUUACUUUUAUCUUGACCUUGUUGGUUCAUGACAUCUUUUAUUAAGAGUGACAAGUUAAAGUGAGAAGAUCCACCAAAUUCCAUAGCAUUAUUUGCCAUUUCUCCAAGUUCACAUGCUCUCUUCCUUCUCUUUUCCCCUUCUUCUCCACCAUCCAUUAAGCUACUCACAGCCAUUUCCACUUUUUCUUUCUUCACUAAAACUCCAGCUUUCUCUUCCUCUCCCCAUCUCACAGGAACCUCAACUCCAACUCUAACUCCAAUCUUUAAAAUCUCCACAAUCAGUUUCUCAUUAAGAAAUUGCUCAGCAAAUAAAGGCCAAGUAAUUAAUGGCACACCAGAGCAAAUACCUUCUAUUGUUGAAUUCCAACCACAAUGAGUUAAAAACCCUCCAAUUGAAGGAUGUGACAGUAUAAGAACUUGUGGAGACCAACCCUUUAUCAACAAUCCUCUUCCUUUAAUUCUUUCUUCAAAAUUUUCUUUCUUGAACCAUUCUUCUAAUUCAAAAGAUUUCUCUCCUGUUUUUGCUACCCAAAUGAAAGGUUGGUUAGAUGCUUCUAACCCUAACCCUAAUUCUAUCAAUUGUGAUGGUUCUAGUCUACACAAACUACCAAGACAAGCAUAAAUGACUGACCUUGGUUUCUUUGAGUCGAGAAAUUCUAAGCAUUGUUUCUCAUCGAUUGAAGCUUUAUUUCCUCUUUCCAACUUAUCUAACCUUUUCUUAUUACAUAAUGAAACCGGUCCAAUGCACCAUACCUUCUUCUUUAUCGCUUGUUGGUAUAAAUCCCGGCACCCAUUUUCAAGCUCGUCAAAACUAUUUACCACAACACCAUAAUCCGUUGAUUCAGCUUCUUGCAUCUUGCUUCGGAGGUCAUCCAAAUCCGGUAAGCUAACGAAGGAUCCCGGAAGUUGACAUCUUGUGAUAGUGAACUUUUCUGGCAUUCCAGGUACCUCAAAAGGUUCGGUAUCUGAAGAGACCGAAAGAUGUGCAUUGUGCAAUCUUAUAUUAUGAGAGCUCAGAAGAGAAAAGGAACCCAUUCCAUGAAAAACUAAUCGGGGAACGUUGAAUCUUUGAGCAGUUCUUGAUGUCCAAGAAAGAUAUUUAUCUGAAAUAAUGCAAUUUAUAGGAGGUUUCGUGUUUUGAAGAAUGUUUUCUAAUGGUUCUUGAAGUUUAGCAAGUGCAGUAUAGAAUUUCUUGAUUAAGUUUCUUGAGGGAAGAGUGUCAAGAUUUUCAUAGCCUACAGGGAGACCAACUUCUUGACAAGGAAAUGGGAUUUGUACAAGAUUGAUGGAAAGGUUUGAUUCUUUAUUUGCUCUAUAAAUGACUCUUUCAAAUCUUGAAGCAUUGAAAGGAGUCGUUAUUAGGGUAACAAUAACUCCACGCUCUGCAAUAAGUCUGGCCAUAUCUAUUACAGGUAUCAUAUGACCUUGUGCCAUCAGAGGUAUUAGGAGAAAAUGAGGUUGGCUAGCCAUUGGAGCUAUUUGCAAUAAAAGUGGUAAUGCAAUUGUUAGAUUUUGGUGAGUUUACUACUACUAAUAAUAAUAUAUUAUAAUUGGGUAGUAGAGAGUAUUUAUUAUAGGUUAUGCAUAUGUUUAUAUGCCUAGAGAGCAAUUGGCCGUUUCUGUGUGAUUUGUGUCAUAGCGUCAAGGUCUUAUAUUUGAGCUGGACUUUGAAUAAGUCUAUAUAUACAUAAAGAGAUAGUAAAGAAAAAAAAUUACUAGUUAGAAUUAGUCUAUCGGUUACAACCUGACUGGACUCGAUUUCAUGUUGAUAAAGCCAAUGCAGGUAAAUUUAUGUUGUAUUUAUUUGAAUAAGUCAAUGCAUAUGCCUUUAGAUUAACAUUUGUUUAUAUUAGAUUUAUUAUAGAUUUUCAAAAAAUAAGAUAAUAUAUUAUGCGGAUUGCCAAAAAUGCAUCUUUACCAUUUGGCAACAGUUCAUUUAUUAAGAAAUUGUAGGAAAUAAUAAUUGUAUUUAAUAAAAAUAAAGGUUAAAUAAUAUUCCUUAAUUUUAUCAAAAUUGCAAAUAAUUUUGAACAAAAUAACUUCAAAGAGACAACAUAAAAAUUAAUGGAGAAAAUAUAUAAAAAAAUAAUAAUAAUCUCCUGUCUAUGUUCUUAAUGUCCUUACGCGAAGUUGACUUGGACUGAUUCUUUCUUUUGGAUUCAACCAAUUAUAAGAUGACAUAGACCGUAACUAUUUUUGUCUUAAUUUGCAAAAUCAUUUUUGUUUCAUAUUAUUGACUCCACAAUUUCGUCGCAGACGCGUUUUCAUUCAUUUUUAUUGACUCUAUCAUAUUAUAUUUAUAUUUAUAAAUAUAUUGUUCGACUUAUAAGACCAUCGAAAUAUUUACGCUCACCAACAGAUCGAAAGAGAAUUUUUUUUUUUAUUGCAAAAGAGAUUUAAAAGAAUAAAAUAACACAAUGAAUUAUAUAAUACAGAAUAUUUCUCAUUAGCUCGUUAAAUAAGUAAAAAUUUUUGUGACGCAAAGGACUCGUAUUUGAAGCCCCACUGGAUUAUCUAUCAAUGGCAAAAGUAGGAAGUGGCCUUGUGAAUGCAUGGACUGGCUUUAGAAACUUCUAUUUUUAUUUGCUGAUUUCUUCACCCUUGCCGUAUGGUUCGGGCGGAAAAUGAUUUUGGUCUUUCAACGAAAGAUUUUGAGUAAUCCAUGCAUUUAAUUUAUUCUUUUUUAUUUUUUUGGCAUAAUAAAAAGACAUAUAAAAUUUACGAAAUGUUGAAAAUCUCUCAUGAAUUAUGACUCUUCAGAAUUUAAAAUUUCAUAUGGAAGAUAAGACUUUGUCAAAUCUCUUAUUUAAAUGAAUAAAUUUUUUUUUAAAAUUUAUUGAUUUACAAAAAUAUCAUUAUACUCGUAAAUUUAUUAACACUUAUAUCAAACAAUAUAAUUAAGUUUUACAAAUUUAUAGAAUUUUAGUAGUUCAAAAGAAAUAUAAACCUUCUCUGAGUUAAAAUUAUUCAAUUUCAAUAGAAAAAUGAAUUAUGUUAUCGCAAUAGCAAUUUUUAUUUCAACAAUCUCAUUACCUUUAAUAAAUUUCAUAAUUUUUAAAAUUUUUAAUCCAAAACACUAUUUUUGAUAUUCUACAUUGAUUGGAAAUUAAAAAAUAUAAGUAAUGGAAUAUCACAUUAGAUGACAGAAGAAUUGACUUAUGUUAAAAUUUCAUAUCUGUAAACAGCAUAUAAGUGAUGGAAACCAACUAUCCAAUUGGUUACUGACUAGCCAUUUUGAUAAUGACUGAAUUUGGUCACAAACGCAAGUUUAAUUCUACACACUCAAACCCCAUUGUCUUAUGCCAAUUCCUUUUUAUUAGUUAAAAAUUAUAACAAUUGCCUCUAUAGGAAAGUAAAUUUGUUAGCAACCUUGUAAAAUAUUGUAUGCCACGGAACAUAAUAUAAUAAGUGUAGUUCUCUCUUUAUUUAAUAAAUUAAUAAAAAUUCUUUAAAUUGAGAUGACUCGAAUUUAUAAUCUUUUACUUCCAACAUCAGUGAAAAUACCAUCAUACCUUCAUAGCAUUAAUGAAUAGUUAAUAAAGAGUCAAAAAGUAUAAAUUUGUCUUUGAAAUUUACGCUAUUUACCUUGUGACACCUUUAAAUUUGCGAGAACCUAUCAUGCUUAUGAAAUUGGAUAUUUUAAUAGCAAUCAUACACAUUGUCCGAGUAAAAAAAAAAAAAAAAAAAAAAAAACCAUUCAUACUCUUAUUUGUCUAAAUUGUUUUUGUUAGAUCGGCAAGUUGGUGGGUUUGGACAUUGGUUUUCUAACUUGCGGUUAAGUGCAAACAAAGAUGAGAAAACGAUUGAUGGGUUGUCUUUCACAACAUUAACGUGUUGGAUGUGAUAUUUGCAAUAUCUAUCACGUCUUCCUUUAUUUGGAAAUUUUUACUUUUGACUUCGAACAAAGAGUUCAGAAACAGUAAAUCAAUAACAACAUUUAAUGGAUCUUAUAGUGUGUUGAUUGAUGAGUUUGAAUUUAAAUUUGAAAUUUGCUGAAAUUGCUAGUGGUUUUGAAUAGGACUAAGUUAAGAUUGCUUACAAAACAUUAAUGAAUAAUAUGGUGUCGUUUUAGGGAUGAGAAACAGGUUUACCUUGUCCUAGAGGAACUAAUUCUUGUUAUCCAUUUGUUAUGGCCUUUCUUUCUGUUUCCUUUAUCCAAAAUCCGUAAAAAUAAGACGAGUUUGAAAUUAAAAGAUGUUGGGCCUUUGUUUUGUGUUAUGGGCUGGUCCUCUUUAUAAUUCAAAGAUGUUUCCAUAAUUGGGCCUUUUAAGUAAUUUUCAAUUUCACUUCAAUUAAUGUAAAUAUAAAUAAGGAAAAUACUUGCAUAUGGCCUACUCAAAUUCAUUAUCAUUUUAAAAAUUGGCACUUUUUUUUAAUAAAAUUACAUUAAUAUUCUCUUCGUGUGCCAAAUUUUUUUAUUAGAUUAGCUUAGGAGUCUUCUGUUUUAACCUUAUCCAACCAUUUAUUCGUUCGAACAAUAAUAAAAUAAAUUUAUUGAAUAUUUAUCAGACUUUGCAAAUUAAAUUUUGUCUAAUUAGAAAAUUUUAUUUUUACUUUUAGAUUUAAUAAUUCAAUAAAAUGAAAAUACAAAUUUAUCUCUUAUAAUUAUAAAAAUCUUUUAAUCAUUCAGUAACAAGCUUUUGAUAUCAAAUUUUAAUUAUUAUCUUCAGUUAUAAAUUCAAAUACCUUCUCUUCCUCCUAUAUAUAUAUAUAUAUAUAUUUUUUUUUUUUUUCUUAAAAUACUAAUCCUUCAAAAAGAGUCAAGAAGUUUAGUUUUUUUUUUUUUUUUUUUGGCAAAAGAAGAGCAAAACAAAAAGCAGAAACCUAUCUAAAAAAACUAAUGCUACAAGCGUUAGUCCAAAGAAUCAAAAACAAUGAAUUAAGACUAGCUUCUCAAAUGAAUAAAGAAAAAUGGAUGACAUGCCCCAAUUUAGCCAAAUGAUUAGCCGCAGAAUUAGCUUUACGAAACACACGAUGGAUAGAACAAUUCCAAUCACGAGUCAUCAACCUCUGAAUAUUCAAAAUAAAAACAAUGAAAGGAUGAGUAAUAGAUAACCCUGAGCAAUAGAGUCAAGAAGUUUCUUUAUUUCAAUAUGGAUUCGUCUACUUUUUUAAACAUGGAAUAAGACCUCUCAACUACAAAAGAAAGGAAUCAACAUUACAUGUGAAAAGAAAGAAUAAAGAAUGUUCUUUUAGGCUUCAUUUGCUUCCAAGAAAUUAUUUUCUUUUGAUUUUUUUUAUAUAUUUAGAGUAUUUAAGAAAAUCAGUGGAUUAUUAUUGAAAAACAUUCUAUUUUUUAAGAGAGAAAAAUAUUUUCAAUUUUGAUAAACUUAUUAUAAAAAAAAACUCAUAAAUACACACCAAUUGAUCCAACCACCGGUCACAACUAGCAUCAUGAUUAAUAAAUUUUCUAUAUUUUUUUUCUAAUAAAUAAAGUUUGAUGAAAAUGAAACUUGAAAUUUAAUAUCAUAACAUUUUAAAGAAACGAGAGUAUGAAUAAGAUCACAAUUAAUUGAUAAAAAAUAUUUAAUUUUACAAAAUAAAUUAAAAAGAAAAAAAGUUGAAUGGCACAAGCAAUCACAAACCACAAGAAAUGGUUACUAAAUGAUUGACAUAUUUUAAGAUUUUCUUUGAAGUGUUUCAUACUUCAGCAAACCAAUCUUAGAAUCUGCAAUAUUAUAGGCCAGGAAUCAGUCUAACAAGCAAGAUGUUACGACUUAUUAAAUAUAGUAAUAUAAGAUUUCAUUUAGUGAGCCAUAACAUAAUAUAAUUAAAAAUAAAUAAAUAAAUAUACAUAAUAAACAUAUAUUAAAAAUAUUUUUAAUUAUAUUAUAUUAUAUUUUAUUACUGUUUACAAACAAAAGUAAAUUUUUUAAAUUAUGUAAAAUUAUAUUUAGUAAUAAAACAUUUAUAUUGAUAAUAAAAAAAAUCAUACUAUUAUUCAAUUAACAAUGAAAUUAUUAACAUUGCUUGUCACUAUUUCAUUUACCAAAUCUCCUAAAUUAUUGUUAUGACUAUUUAUUGAAAACACCAUAAAAUAAUUAUUGCACCAUUGCCAAGAUAUUACAAUUUCUCUCCUUUUCUUUUGAAUCUCAAAAUUAGUGUCAUUUGUAGUUGAAAGUGACAUAUAAGUAUUUACUUUCCUGCCACUAUUUGAAACCAUUAAACUCAAUCAUAAGCCACCAUUGUCUUUCACAUGAUCACACCUCUUUCUUUCAGCUACCAAAUUGGAUAAUAAUGAAUUAAAAUUAUCCCAAGUUGCAUUUUAUAUUUUAAUACAUUAAAUAAAAAACAUUAUAGGGUUAUUCCAAUGAGCAAAAAUGAAAAUGUUCCUUUUUUUAUAUUACUUAGGGAAGAAACUUAAUGUUGAUUAUAAAUUAAAAAAGAGCUUUAUCAAUUUAAAUGAUUGAAAUAAGAUACUAUAAGUAUGACUAUAAAAUAUAUGUAAUAUUUUAUAAAUAUAAGUAUGACUAUAAAAUUACUUGGAAAGCACGUUUAAUAGCCUGCAACUUUUAAAGCAGUAUUUAGUAUUUUGAUAGAGCUAAAAUACUAUCUUAAUUAAUUUUAGUAUUCGGUAAUACAAUAUAUGUCUUUAGUGUUUAGAGGUUGAGACACUGUUUCAUUAAAUUUUAUCUUCAUUAAUUUUAUAUUUAUUACAUUUAUAUUCAUUACUUGUUUUUAACUUGUUACUUGAGUUUAUACUUUUUUUCUCGUUUAUAUUAAACAGCUAAUCAAACAGUUAUAUUUGCACCGAAUAUUUUUUUUCUAAAUCGCUAUAUGAUCAAGUAACCACUAACAGUAAAUAUUUAACAGUUAACUACCGGUAAAACAAUCGAUAGUUAUUAAAAUAGCUAAAAAUUAGAAUAGCUAGAAUUAUCGAAUACCCCGAGUAAAAAAAAAAAAAUAAUAAACCGGGAACAAUUUUAGAAAAAUUUUAUUUGUUAAACCAAUGGUUUGUGCGACUAAUCAAGUUAAAUUACAAAAAAAUUGAAUAAAUAAUAGCAAAAUAGGGAAUUGGGAUUAUUUGAGGACUAAGCAACUUAUUAAUGUUGCUUUUGGUUCUGAUCAUUGCUCCUAAUUCCGCAAAAUUAACAGCCUCGAUUGCGGCAACUUUGCCCUUUCAGGUAGGUGGACCCCGUAUCUUGAUAAGAUUUGCAAUGAUACGCUCAUAACUAGCGCGUGAUUAACAAACUCAAACGGCCAAGUCACCGCUGAAGAUGCCACGCAACUACGCAAGGAAGACGAAGCUGGGUCAAGAAAGGCGUGCUUUCUACGGACCGUACGCUGCAUUAGAUAUGAAAAUGAAAAGCGAAGAAGAAACAUCAGAGCCUGCCACCUGCAGCUACACUGGAACAUCCUUUGUCCACAUUUAUUUUUUUAAAAACAUACUAGUAAAAAAAGCAUAUUGUUUGUUAGUCUUCCUGUCUCUCGAGAAAAAUGUAAAAAAAAACAGAGGUCUCUUGAUCAGUAACAGUAAAAUUAAGAGUUAAAAAUAUUAAAUAUAUAUGAAAAAACUUAUAUUAAAUAUAAAUCUGUUAUUAGUUUCAUUCGAAUUACUAUAAUGACAAAUCUUUAUAUUAAAAACUUAAUGACAUCAGCAACAUCUAAGCUAAUUUUUUUUUAAGGGCAUUAGAGUCUUUCAGCUAUAUUGAACAUUUUCCGAAAAUUGAAUGCUCCAAGUAUUGCGGCUUCUCUUUAAAUAUUAUAAAAAUUUGAUUUAUGUGGUACCUUUCAUGCUAAGAAAGCAAAAAGAGCGCGGAUAGGGAAAUUAUUAAAGAUAAGGUAUUUUGAUUCAACAAUCAAAUUCACACUAAACAAAUUUUAAAGGGUAUUUUCGACUUUCUAUUCUCAUGCUUAAUUAAUGAUAUUAAUUAAACCAAAUAGUUUGCUUAAUCCAAUUUGGAACUUCUGUUUAUUACUUAUUCACCACCUCGCUCUCUCUCUCUCUUUCGUAUCCUUUCUGUCUUGUCCUUUGUGUGUCACAGUUCACUUCUCUCUCUUUCUUUCUCUUUGCUCAAUGCAUAAAAGAACGAACCACCGUCACCACCACUACUCCGAUCUCUUUCUUUAGAGCAAACUACUUAUUCAACAACCAAAAAUGCGGGCUUCAUUGCCCUUCUUGAUUCUAGCAGUGCUAGUGUCUGUGUCGGUGGUUAACUGUGCCAGUGUUCUUCCUUUGGAAAGAAUUUUUCCUUUGAACCAUCCGGUCGAACUCGACCAACUCAGGGCUCGCGACCGGGUCAGACACUCCCGUCUCUUGCAAGGUUUUGUUGGUGGCGUUGUCGACUUCCCAGUUGAAGGCUCUCCCGAUCCAUAUCUUGCUGGGUAAUUUUAUCUUAUUUGAUUAAUUUCUUCGUUGGUUUUUUUCAACUUUUUUGAGCUUUCUUUAAUGGUUUGGAUUUUAGUCAAGUUUCUUUUUCAUUUUUUUUUUUUUUGCCUUUUCUGUUUAAUUUUUAUCAGCCUGUUAUCAUUUAAUGCUAUUUGAUGAAUUUGCAUUGAUGGUUCUGUUUGGAAAUUGUUAACUUCGACUCAGGUUUUUGUUUUCCUUUGCUGGGUUAGCAUUUAUUGAACAUCAUUUUCUAUUUACGCAUUACGUAUAGACAUGCCUAACCUUCAAAAUGGUAUGGGUAUUGUUUGUAAUUUUGCACAUUUAUAAUCAAAGGUAGAGUAAAAGCUGAGAAAAAGGAAAUGGAUUUUGGUUCUUAUUGGCUUGAGUAGGCAAAGAUGGAUUCUUUACUUUCUUAACAGUUUCUUUGUAAUAAAAAUAGUAAUGUCUUUGUGAAUUCAAUGAGUUUGGUAUCAUAGAAUUUAUUGUGAUUUUUAUGAUCUGAAAUUGAUUGGUUUUGAUGUUAUUUGUAUCGUUAUUGACUAAUUUUGUUUUCGCUGUUCUUUCUUGCGGUGCCCUUUUCACUCAGGGUCAAUGGAUCUUCAAAUCCCUUGUAAUAUAUCUGUCUUGGUUCUCCUCUGUUUUUGUGCUGUUUGACGCUCUCUGUAGGAUGAGACUGGUUACUUUUGUUUUUUUUUUUUUUUUUAGUGCUUAAUUGUUGUGAUAGACCAUAUUCAUCAAUUCUUUUUUUUUUUUUUUUUUGGUUUGUUUAGACUCUAUUUCACAAAAGUGAAGCUGGGCUCUCCUCCAAGAGAAUUCAAUGUCCAGAUUGAUACAGGAAGUGAUGUCUUAUGGGUCAGCUGCAGUUCCUGCAGUAAUUGCCCUCAAUCUAGUGGUCUUGGAGUAAAUCUUUUUCCUUUACGUUCUUAUUAGCUCUUGUACCUGAUGGAAUUCUUGUAGACUAAGAAACUCAUGUACAACUUUCGUACUCUGCAUUUAACAGGUUCAGCUCAAUUACUAUGAUGCUGCUAGCUCAACAACUGCUUUGCCAGUCCCAUGUUCACACCCUAUUUGUACUUCAGAAAUGCAAACGACAGCAACUCAAUGCUCUCCGCAGAGUAAUCAGUGCAGUUACUCAUUUCAAUAUGGAGAUGGAAGUGGGACGACAGGCUACUAUGUAUCUGAUACAUUUUAUUUUGAUGCUGUUUUGGGAGAGUCUUUGAUUGCUAACUCUUCAGCAGCUAUUGUCUUUGGGUAAUAUUUUCUAACUCGUACAAGAGUUGGAGCUGCAAUUAAAGGGAUUAGUAAUCAUUUCUACAUUUCACUUUAUUAUUUAAUAAAGUAGAUCAUAAGGAGAUAGCAUAGAAUUGAUAUGUUAAUUUAGUUGCAUCAAUGGACUUCAUAAUAAGCCAUGGUAUUAACCAACAAUGUGAGUAGCAAUUUCAGCACUAAAUGACCGUCUUUUUCACAUGAUCCAUUACAAUGUUAUAACAUGCCACCUAACUUUUAUCUUAUGUUUCUCUUAGAUUAUGUUGGACAGAUUUUUUUUUUUUUUCAAUUUUUUGUUACUUUUAAUCUUAUUGUUCUGGAUGAUGGUGCUGGAAACAGAUGUAGCACCUUCCAAUCUGGGGAUUUGACUAAGACGGAUAAAGCAGUUGAUGGAAUAUUUGGGUUUGGCCAAGGUGAUCUCUCUGUCAUAUCACAGUUGUCAUCCCAUGUGAUAACACCCAGAGUGUUUUCUCACUGCUUGAAAGGACAGGGGGGCGGUGGUGGCAUUUUGGUUCUUGGUGAGAUUUUGGAGCCGGGCAUAGUUUAUAGUCCCCUCGUGCCAUCACAGUAUGUUCCUCAUAACUUUUCUACCAGCCUGCUUUGCUUUAUUCUUUGCUUCCAAAUAUGAUCUUAUUUUUGUGAAGCAUUCAAUUCUCACAUUAUCUGCACUUGGGGUUGCAUUCAUGCUUUCAUGAUUGAUAUGUCAUCUCCUUAUGCCUGUUUCAUGCGAUAGGCCAGAUUUGGACUUGAGAGACUCAUAACCACUACCCAGCUCUUUACCACGCAAGUUGUUCCUCAUUCAUUCAAACCUAUUAUUCUGACAGUCACAAGGUGGAAUUACACUAUACUGCCUCUUUUGUUUUGGCAACUUUAAAGCCUUCUCUUGGUUGUUUCAUUUUGGCGGAUUUAACUUUUCUUUAGCUCAUUGAAUUUUGCAAGGACCUUGAGAAAGGAAUAUUAUUUCUCAUGUUUUAAGGUCAUAUCCACCAUAGAGAAGACUUUCUUCUGUGUCAGUUAACUUGUAUAAUGUUUUAUUUUUGGUUGGGAUGCAUUGAAUUUAAGAAAAGGGUACUGAAGCCCUUAUAUUUGGUUGUGGACAUGAGAUGCCCAUUUGUUAUAGAACUAAAUCAUAUAGAUAAUGUUGGAUAGCAGCCUCGGUGUUGAAAGUUGUAUUAGAGAUAAUUUUCAACACUCAAGUGAUGGAAUUAUGUAGUUGAAUACCACAUUGGGGCUUUUCAUUUCUGUGGCACAUUCUCUACUUUAUGAGGGUAUCCUUACUUCUUCAUAUAAGCUUGCCAAUUCUUUGGUUUUUUUUUAAGUGCUAGCAUAACUCUGAAUAUUUUCAAUGUAUCAUUUUGUUUUUCACUUUUCUAGCACUUGUAUUCUUCUUGAUUUGCAAUGCUUCAGUUACAAUUAGAAAAUGUGAAUAUUAGUUUUACAGUAAUUUAACUGCUUUCUCAAAAUCUUCAGGCCUCAUUAUAAUUUAAAUCUGCUGAGCAUUGCUGUCAACGGACAAUUGUUACCAAUUGAUCCAGCAGCAUUUGCAACAUCAAAUAAUCGAGGAACUAUUGUUGACUCUGGAACAACUUUGACAUACCUUGUGGAAGAAGCUUAUGAUCCUUUUGUCAGUGCUGUAAGUAAUUUGCUUUUAAUGUGCUUACAAGUUAAUUGAUUAAGGGAAUUAGAUCAAGGUCUACCAUUUUGAACGAAAGCUCUGAGUUACAAUAAGCAGUACUGCAUAAUAUUGUACUUUUCCAUGUUGAUGGGUUAACUCUUUAGAUGAAUGGAAAAUGCUGAAACAAGGCUGUCAUUUAUGAUGAGGUCCAGCCGUCCAGGUUUACAGUUAUUCUGUCAAAAGAUUCAAGCUGUGUGGAUAGACAAUAGUAGAUUAAUUAGCAGAUAUUUUUUUCAAAUGGCUUUCAUCUUGCUGUGUUUGUGAAGUCUAUUUUGCUUUUUGUGUUCGCAGAUAACUGCUGUGGUCUCACCAUCUGCAGUUCCCACAAAAUAUAAAGGAAAUCAAUGUUAUCUAGUCUCCACCAGGUUCAUUUAUCUAUCUUAUUUCAAGUAACUAUACGUAGUUAUGCUUGACAGAAGAAAGGUUUUCUGAUCCUAAGGCUCCCCCCAAAUUCUUCCCCUGGAGAACUAAAUAGAACUUAUAUUAUUUCCUGUGCAGUGUAUCUCAAGUAUUUCCUCCCGUUAGUUUCAAUUUUGCUGGCGGUGCAUCUAUGUUGUUGAAACCGGAAGAGUAUCUUAUUAGUCUUGGUUCCUAUGUAAGUUGUUCCGCUUUUCAUCUUUUUAUUAUUCAUUUUCUCCAACUAUUGAAUUAGAAAUGCUUUUAUUGCUUGCUAUAUUAAUUUCAUUUCAGGAGCAUAAUAGAUCACAAUUUUGUUGUAGCAGGCUGGUGCUGCAAUAUGGUGCAUUGGUUUUCAGAAGAUUCAAGGAGGAAUAACAAUUUUAGGAGGUUAGAUACUGGAUCUGGACUUCUAUCUAUGACCGAAGUGUACUAAAACAGGUUGGGGCUAGAUUCAAUUGGCUCCAAACCCAGAAUAGUAAUAUUCCGACAGCAAUAUAUAGCAUGUGACAGAGUAGUAAUGUUUCAACAGUUUGAUAAUUUCAUUUCUUGCAGUUGCAACAUACUUAUGUUCUUUUCCAUUAUUGAAUCACAUAUCUUUUCCUAAGUAAGUUGCAGGAAGAAGCUCAUUCACUUGCAGCUUUUGUUUACAAGCAAAAAAAAUGAAAUAUAAUUAUACAUUUCAAAAUGCCAUUAUUCAUAUCUUUUAACUUCUAAAUUGUUUCAAGUAUAAUUAUCUUGUUGGUUUCUUCAAUUUGCAGAUCUUGUCCUAAAAGAUAAAAUUUUUGUGUAUGAUAUAGCUCAUCAACGGAUUGGAUGGACUAACUAUGACUGUAAGUACACCUAUACCUUUCUGUCUGUGGUGUAUGAAUCCUUGCCUAUCCCCCUAUCAGCAUGUACCUCUGAUAUUUUUUAUUCUCAUCUGUCAGGUUCAUUAUCUGUGAAUGUCUCUGUACCUUCUAGCAAGGACUUCAUCAAUGCAGGACAACUGAAUGCGAGCAACUCGGCAAGGGACAUGCUCUUGAAGCUGAUACCUCUGGCCAUUAUGGCUCUCCUAAUGCACAUAUUAGCAUUAGUGGAUUUCCAAUUUUUGUAAUUUAAGCCGCAGGUUUGAAGUUCUAUUCUUUAUGGUAUUGGAAUUAUUGGCCUAGCUGGCUUUUAUUUAGCGGUCGGCUAUGCAUGUGGAUUUACUUGGAUUACACUUGUAGCUGUUCAGGCGUCUAUUCUUCAAAUGGGGGAAUUCAGCUUUUUUCUUGUAAAGGGAAGGCUGCUGGAAUUGUAAAUUAUUGAUAUCUGUGAUAUUGGGUUGGGUGCUGUAGUAUUAUGUUGUUGUUAAGUAGAACAAAACAUUUUGUCCCAGGAGAAAACAAGUCUUCUAUGGUGACAACUUUUGGGAUAGAUAGAGAUAUAUAGAAAUGAUAGUGUCCAUGCUAGUAUGUUUCUUUUCUUAUUUGCUGCUUCUUUGUUACUUCUUGGAUAACUUUAGAAGUGUUAAUAGCUGUAUGACUUCUGUUGAGGAUUGUAAUACCUUUUUUCUCUGAUUAGUGAUUCCUAAAUGAAAUGCACAAAAGUUGUGAAUCUAUCAUAUUUUGCUUUUUAGCUUUUAGUGAGUUAAAAGCCAUUAUGUUGUUGUAUUUGAUGAUGGAAGUGAUCAUAUUGUAUGGAUCAAAUCAAAAGGAGCUACGAGAGAUGCAACAUGGACACUCAAAAAGGACUUUUCCUGCUUCGAGGAUCAUUAUCUUUUGUUGUUUAGGUUAAGGAUUGUCAAUUUUAUGCUUUGUCGUAGUGAUAUUAAAUGAUUUUCUUCUUCAAAAAAUUCCAUAAGAAAGUAUUUUAAAAUUUUUCCAAGACCUAUAUUUUGUUUUGUGUUGGCAUUAAUUUGACCAGAGCAGAUUGAGAACAAGGGAUUUCAUAUAGUUGCUUCCAAUUCGUUUAGAAUAGGAUCACAUUUCUAAAUUGGGGUAUGUGAGGUCUACAUAAUAUACGACCGUACCAUUUUAGACAUUUUUCUCUCGAUUUAUCUCUAAUUUUUGUUACUUGCACCUUUUGUCUAAUGCGAUCAUUUCUAAUCUUGUUCAUCUCUUCACAUACCCAUCUUAGCAUUCGGCAUUUGCAUCCGCAUCUUCGCUACAUUCAUCUUGUUAACGUGUUGGGUAUUCAAUACCUAACAUUCACUUCCAUAUAGUAUUGCGGGUUUCACCACUCUUCUACAACUUUUGUAUUAUUUAUAGAGACUUAAUAUAUUAUUUCACUCCCAACUUUAGGUUUUAUUGCAAUUUCACUCCGAUUUAAGCAUUAUAUCAAUUUUACCAUGAACUGACUUUUUUUUUUACAAUAGCACUCUAAAUUAUAAUUAGAACUUAAAUUGUGGUAACUCAUAAAUUAUAAUAGACUUAUUUACCUUUAUUACUUUAUUACUGUGGUAACUCAUAAAUUUUACUAUCAAGCUCGCUUGUGGUUUCAUUAGCCCACUGGCUUGCGAGCCUCAUUUCAAAAUUCAAAAUUUGACUUAUUUAAAUUGACUUGGCCCAGCAGCUCAUUAGGUUGUUAAAUAAAUUAGAAUGUGUUUUAUCUAAGCCCACUUUCAAAUAGUGGUAAGUUUCAAAUUCAAGUCUUUGUCCAUAUUUUUUUUUAUUUCUAUUUAAUUAUGUAUUGACCACAUUUUCUUUAAAUUACAUAGUCAGGACAAUAAAUUUUUCUAUAUAAAAAAACCUGUUACAUCUUAAAGGGAAAGGAUGAAAAAAAUUAACCAAAUUGGUAAUAUAAAUUUGGUGUUUUGUCUUUCCAAUUAGUAUGUGAAUUAAUUAGCAACUAAUUAACGUACGAAUCCAUCACCAAGUCCAAUUGUGGAAGGAAAUUUUCAAAAGAAUUAAUUAGCAACCUAAAUAACGUUUGUGGAUGGAUAUUGCCAGUAGGAUUCUUGCUGUUCUUGCACUCUUGUUUGGUUCAUCCUAGAAUUGAAAAUGGAAUCCAAUUUUUAAAGUAAAAAUGGAAUUCUCUCUAUUACAAUUAUUUUUUUCAAAUUAAAGAGUCAAGAUGAAUAAUACUCCUAUUAUGUAGUCUGCAGAAUUAUUUUGACCAAUUGGUCAUUCAAUGAAUUAAUGAGAUAUACUCAACUUUUGAUAAUUAGACCGCGUAUUGUUCAGGUUAUAGUUCAUCUGUAAUAGCUAGUUAGCAAACAGUAUCAAUUACUAUGGUAAUAUUUUUUUACUUUGUGGAGAAAUGAUAAUACUAUUAUUAUUAAUAUUAAUUAUUAAUUAUUAUUAUUAUCAUAUUAUUAUUAGAAUGCAAAAAUCAUUGGUACAUAAAAGGACACGUUUCCGCUAAACGAGGCGAGUAGUUUGGUUGAAGUCUGGCUAUAAAAUAUGCCGAUAAAUACUGUAAGACUAGUGUGUGAAAGUUUUUCUGGUACAACUUCGACGCAGUCUUUCAGCCCUUAUAUCAGGGCCCCACUUGUCAUUCUAAUUCUAUUUGAACGUUUUCUUUCGCACGUGUGUAUUUUUCUUUUUCAUUCGCAAAAUAGGUACGUGUCACCUUAGCAGGCAAAGGCUUUUUUUUUUUUUUUUUAAAGAGUUAAUUUAAGUUUUAACCAUUUACCGGUUCAUCAAUUGCUAGCCGGUUGCAUAUAUUUCCUUAGAGAGAAAAGGUAUAUAUUUAUAAGGUGUCAAGCUUGAUGCUUUUGUGCCUCUUCCAUGUUUAAUGUAGUGUCACUAUAUUUAGUCAUUAGUGGGCCUCUAUUCAUGUUUUUUCUAGUUUAAAUAUUUCCUCCGACUGGUUCUUUGAUAUAUAUAUUUUUUUUCAUUUUCUUUGAAAUCUAAUAAAAUUAAAUUUCACAAAAUCAAUUUAUGGAUGAAAAAGAUUAAUGUAUGUAGCUCAUCAUAUGAAGCCAUUAGUUUCUAAUACUUGAAUUAAUUUUUUAAAAAAAUAAUCAUGAUUUUUUUAUCAAAUUAAUGUAAACAAAUAUAUUCUUUAAGUAACUUAAUUAAUUUUGGUAUACAUAAAAUGAAUUUUUUUAGACAAUAUACCUAAAAUGAUCUAAUUAUACAUCAAAAGAUUACUAUGGUAGACUAAUGGUCAUAGACUCAAAGUAUGCUUAAACGUAAGAAAGCAAAUUAUUUAUUAUCAAACGGAUGUAGAUUGAUUUUACCUUUUGACUUAUAAGUUCAGAAAUUAAUUUUACUUGAAUAUUAUCUGGGCCGAGUGCAAUAUGAACGAAAAAAAUCCCAUUUAUACAUAAUUCUUAGUACAAAUAUAUUUUAGAAUUAAAAGAAAAUACCUUUACAAAAUCAAGAUAGCAAUAUUAAUUAUUUCAUUCUCAUUUCACCCUUAUUUAUUUUAUUUUCUUUUGAUAAAUUACUAGUAUUUUUUUUUUUUUUUGUAUGGAGUUGAGGUGGUUGAAUUAUUUUAGGAGGGAGAGGAAGUAAUAUUUUUUUCAGAAAGGAAACUGAAGUAGUAAAAGGUCACUCCUGUGUUUUUCGUUUCAACUGGAAGUUAUAACGACACGCUGGAAAUGCGCGUGAUAGUUUCUCAAGCUUGAAAAGCAUCCUAGCAGCAAACGGCCCAACCUCCCGCGCCCAUGCAAAAUCCCCACACGCCACACCAGAACACACAACGCCACACUACACACCACCAUCUCUCUCUCUCUCUCUCGUAUCUCAUUCUCUCUAUCUUUCUGUAAUCUCUCGAAAGGAACAAUUUCCUUUCUUUCCAUUUCCUUUUCCCUAUCUCCUUUUCCUUCCUCUCAUUAAUCACUCGUCAUUUCUCUCUCUCUCUCUCGUCCUUUUAUAACCCCAAAAGCACUAACAAACAACAGAAACAGAAACGCCACUCUCUCUCACUAUUUUCUCUCUUCAUCGGUCUCUAGACUCUUUACGUUCACUCUGUUGUUUUUCUCUUGCGUUUUUUAUUUGUUAUUUUGGAAUUUCGGUAACUGCAUUUUGUUGAACCGGAAACUGUACUAAUGGCGGUUCCUUCGACGGUCUCGGCGGCCGGUACGGCGUCGCUGUACGUUGGGGACCUGCACCCUGAGGUCACUGAUGGCGUGCUUUUUGAUGCAUUCUCUGAGUUCAAGAGCCUUAUUUCCGUUCGCAUAUGUAGAGACUUGUCUACUGGCAGGUCUCUCUGUUAUGGUUACAUCAACUUUAUCUCUCCACAAGAGGGUAAUAUAUCUCUGUCCUUGUAUAUGCAAUGCUUAUUAUCAUUAUCAUUAUUAUUAUUAUUAUUUCUUUUAGAAGUAAUGUGAUUGAUUUGUGAUUGUUGUUGUUUUUGUGGCUUUUGGAAUUUUCUGUUCGGUUCACUGGAAUGGAAUUGGAAAAUGCUAAGUUAUUUGAGCUCGGAUUUUGUGGUUUUGAGAUUUCUGUUUGUUUGAUUGUUUUUUGACUUCUAAAAUGUAGGAGGAACAGGAAUUAGAGGUUUUAGGCUUUAUUAGAUUUUUUUUUCUCAAUUGUGAAUUGUUCAUUUGAUUUAUUCUUUGUUUGAAUUUUGGCUUUUUGCAAGUGUGUAAGUUAUGUGCCUGUUCAGAAAAAUUUUGGAGAGGAACUUAGUUAUAAGCUAAUUUUAUUUCUUAUCUAUUAAUUUUUCGAAAUUUGUUUCUGAGAUUUAUCAUCCAUAUGUCUCUGUUUGAUUGUUGGAAUUUCUAGAAGUGGUAAAAGUUCAUUGAAAAAGAAAAGGACUAUCGCUACAUUGAACUUUGUACUACCAUAUAUUAACAAUUAAAUUAGCUUGGUUCGUUAAGUUGAAUAAAAUGUUUAGUGCUAGAAAUAUGUCAUAUGUGGAGGACUUUGGAACUUGUGGAUGAUAGAAUAUUGCUGAUGUAUUUUUGUUUUUAUGUUUUUAUUUUAUGGCCUUCAUCAUGGAUAUUCUCUGCUGAUUUUGUUUAAGCCAGUAAAGCGAAAUUGCAUUUCUAGUAUUGGUAGAUAUAUUAUGAAGAACUAAUCAUAACCUUUGCUGAUGCAGAAGUAUUAGGUUGUUUGUCUAUUAAAAUGUUGUUUAUUUAUGAAGAUAUGUACUGUAAUGUAGGUGUUUAUUGCUUUCUCUGCAGCUGUACCUUUUCUCAUCUGUUUUAGUAAUAUUAUAUAUUAUAUAUUUUAAGGCAUCAUUCAUAAUGAAGUUUUCUGACAAGUAUGAUGAAGAGGAGAAAGUUUCAUAUCUAUGUUUCAUCCGUCUUAACUUAGAAGGAAAUAUUUUGAAUUUGUUUAAAUUGUUCUUAUUUAAUAUUGCUUUCUCUGAUUUGAGUAGCUAUCUGGGCUAUUGAGACAAAGAAUCACACUCCCUUGCUUGGAAAGUUGAUGAGAGUCAUGUGGUCACACCGUGAUCCUGAUGCAAGAAAAAGUGGAAUAGGAAAUGUGUUUGUUAAGGUAUCUCUCUUUUUCUUUAUUGAAGGUACUUGGAACUGAGCUACUACUCCAAGGUUCCUCCUUUUCCUAGUGUAAUUUUGAACAGAAACUAAUUGUUUGGUUUAUACUACAGAAUUUGAGCGAGACAAUUGAUAAUGUGGGGCUUCAGGAUUUAUUUCGUAAAUUUGGGACUAUAUUAUCUUGCAAAGUUGCCACGUUUGAGGAUGGAAAGAGUAAAGGCCAUGGCUUUGUUCAGUUUGAUUCAGAGGAUUCCGCAAAUUCUGCUAUUGAGGAGCUAAAUGGUUCCAUUGUUGGUGAUAAGCAGAUGUAAGUGCUCCUCUUUUCUGUGUGCCAGGUCCAAGGAUUAUUUUCCUAUUAGUUUCAUUGUGGUUUGAAUCAUGGUGCAGAUAUGUUGGAAAGUUUGUUAAGAAGAGUGAUAGAGUUUUGCCUAGCCCUGAUGCUAAAUAUACAAAUUUAUAUGUGAAAAACUUGGAUACUGAAAUAACGGAAGAGGUUCUGCUGGAGAAGUUCUCGGAAUUUGGGCAAAUAGUUAGCCUGGUGAUUGUAAAGGAUGAAACUGGAGGCUCAAGAGGUUUUGGCUUUGUCAAUUUUGAUAACCCAGAUGAUGCCAAACACGCUAUGGAAAAAAUGAAUGGAACAGAACUAGGUAUGUUGCUUUGACCUUAAUUGAGAAUAUGGAACAAUUUCACAAUAUUGAAAGAUCUUUUGCUUGAGUUGGUAGACAGUUGUCUAUAUGUUCUUUUGAUCUGGUUUUUUGCUUAUGUGCGUUUUUUCAAUACUUCAAUGUUGGGAUUAGUUACUAAUUCUAAUUUGUAUGCCCUUUUAUGUUUCAAUGUGUCUUUUGAGUAGGUUCAAAGAUUCUUUUUGUAGGAAGAGCACAAAAGAAAGCAGAGCGUGAACAAAUUUUGCGGCGCCAGUUUGAGGAAAAGCGCAACGAGCAGAUCUUGAAAUACAAGGUAGGGCUAUGUUAUUUGUUCCUUAACCUAGGACAACUUAAAGAUUUCAACCUGAUCAUCAUAUGGUUCAAAUGUUGUGUGUGGCUAGACAGCAAUCAAAUCCUUUGUCAUGCAACAAAAUAGCUAUAAAUGAUCAACUUGGGAAGUGAUCUGAUAUUAUUAGAGAAUAAAUCUAGGUAUGAUUAAAAGUCCUAUAGGAGACUGUUAAAUGUAAUGAAGGAAAAGUAUUUAAUUUUAGAAUUAUUAUGAUAGGAUUAUUUGACAAAUCAGGAAAUCACUUGUCGGGGUUAAGUCAGCUGGAGUUGACAUCAGCUUGGAAGAAGCCAAUAUGUUAUAAGACUGAGAAGAGAAAACAUGACAGGAGUUUUACAAUCCUAUUUAUAGACUUUUACUAUUCUUGAUUUAGAAGCUUCACAAAAAACUUAUUGCAGUCAUUACAUAGCUUCAACUCAAGACAACGGUGAUCUCAAACCUAUGCAUUCCAGAUCUCUCCUAACUACUACAACACUAUUAUAGAAUAAUACGAAAAUGCAAAUUAUAGAAGUCAUGGGUGAAUAGUUGUUCUACAUGACAAAGGUUGUCUCCGUUCUUC
rnacentral:lncRNA from 1 species